AACGCGAAGAACCUUACCUACCCUUGACAUGCCAGGAACCUCGCAGAGAUGUGAGGGUGCUCGAAAGAGAGCCUGGACACAGGUGCUGCAUGGCUGUCGUCAGCUCGUGUCGUGAGAUGUUGGGUUAAGUCCCGCAACGAGCGCAACCCUUGCCAUUAGUUGCUACAUUUAGUUGGGCACUCUAAUGGGACUGCCGGUGACAAACCGGAGGAAGGUGGGGAUGACGUCAAGUCCUCAUGGCCCUUAUGGGUAGGGCUUCACACGUCAUACAAUGGCGCAUACAGAGGGUUGCCAACCCGCGAGGGGGAGCCAAUCCCACAAAGUGCGUCGUAGUCCGGAUUGUAGUCUGCAACUCGACUACAUGAAGUCGGAAUCGCUAGUAAUCGCGGAUCAGCAUGUCGCGGUGAAUACGUUCCCGGGCCUUGUACACACCGGUAUCUC
rnacentral:rRNA from 1 species